AACAAAACUAAAUUCCAGUUUCCAUGAUCAUAACACAGAAGCUUUUCUACUAUAAACAUUGUAUUUUAGGCUCCUACCCAGGAAUUGUCUUUUAUUUUAGGUGGCUAACCAGGAAUUGAAUUGUCUUAAAAGACAAUGUGUAGGAGAAAUAGCAAUUACAGAUCUUCCUAACUCUGAUCUAAUUUUGUGUACAAGCCAUUUUUAGUGAAGGUACUUGGGCACAGCUUUUAUUCCUUUAGAUUUUGUAUUCAUCAAAAAGCGAGAAAAAAUGGGGUGACAAAACUCAUCUAUUUCCCUCUUAUUUCACUUUUGAAGGAAAUCAGAGCACUUGUACUUCCAUGUUCUGUCUUUGACCUAAGAAAUAUUUAUUUCUAUAGUGUUCUAUUAGGAAAAUCAAUAUUGGCCGAGCACCAUGGCUCACACCUGUAGUCCCAGCACUUGGCUGAGGCAGGCAGAUCACCUGAGGUCAGGAGUUCAAGACCAGCCUGGCCAACAUGGUGAAACACUGUCUCGACUAAAAAUAUAAAAAUUAGCUAGGCAUGGUGGUG
rnacentral:lncRNA from 10 species